rnacentral:rRNA from 1 species
UGGCUGCAUGGCUGUCGUCAGCUCGUGUCGUGAGGAUGUUGGGUUAAGUCCCGUAACGAGCGCAACCCUUGUCCUUAGUUACCAGCACGUUAUGGUGGGCACUCUAAGGAGACUGCCGGUGACAAACCGGAGGAAGGUGGGGGAUGACGUCAAGUCAUCAUGGCCCUUACGGCCUGGGCUACACACGUGCUACAAUGGUCGGUACAAAGGGUUGCCAAGCCGCGAGGUGGAGCUAAUCCCAUAAAACCGAUCGUAGUCCGGAUCGCAGUCUGCAACUCGACUGCGUGAAGUCGGAAUCACUAGUAAUCGUGAAUCAGAAUGUCCACGGUCGAAUACGUUCCGGGCCUU